rnacentral:misc_RNA from 1 species
AAGACUAUAGACCUGCGGAGUACCUGCGGAAGGAUCAUUAUUGAAUAUGCUUGAUAGGUUGUAGCUGGCUCGCUUGGAGCAUGUGCACGCUUGUCUUGACUUUAUUCAUCCACCUGUGCACCUUUUGUAGUCUUGAGUGGAUUGGAUCCGAGGAUCGGAGGAGACUCCGGAUGUGAGGAAUGCGUGGCUUUUCUCUAAUGGAUCUAGCUCGAGUACUAUGUAUUUCAUAUACUAGCAUGU